rnacentral:misc_RNA from 1 species
UCCGGUUUAGACCGGCGGUCUCCCUAGACAUGAUAACUAAGGACAAGGGUUGCGCUCGUUGCGGGACUUAACCCAACACCUCACGGCACGAGCUGACGACAGCCAUGCAGCAUCUGUGCACGCUCCCUCGCGGGUCCCUUCUCUUACAAGUUGGUACCACGUGCAUGUCAAGCCGAGGUAAGGUUCUGCGCGUUGCAUCGAAUUAAACCACACGCUCCGCUGCUUGUGCGGGCCCCCGCCUAUUCCUUUGAGUUUUAACCUUGCGGCCGUAGUCCCCAGGCGGUGAACUUAAUGCGUUAGCUGCGGCACUGAUCGGGUCAAUCCGACCAACACCUAGUUCACAACGUUUAGGGCGUGGACUAC